GGGUCUGUAGCUCAGUUUGGUUAGAGCGCUACAUUGACAUUGUAGAGGUCUCCAGUUCGAGUCUGGACAGACCCA
rnacentral:tRNA from 1 species